GCGAAUGGUGGAUGCCUUGACUGGUAAAGGCGAUGAAGGACGUACUAGACUGCGAUAAGCUACGGGGAGCUGUCAAGAAGCUUUGAUCCGUAGAUUUCCGAAUGGGGCAACCCAAUGUAUAGAGAUAUACAUUACCUAUAUAGGAGCGAACGAGGGGAAUUGAAACAUCUUAGUACCCUCAGGAAAAGAAAUCAAUAGAGAUUGCGUCAGUAGCGGCGAGCGAAAGCGCAAGAGGGCAAACCCAGUGCUUGCACUGGGGGUUGUAGGACUGCAAUGUGCAAGAGGUAAGUUUAGCAGAACAUUCUGGAAAGUAUAGCCAUAGAGGGUGAUAGUCCCGUAUGCGAAAAACAAACCUUAGCUAGCAGUAUCCUGAGUAGGGCGGGACACGAGGAAUCCUGUCUGAAUCCGGGUCGACCACGAUCCAACCCUAAAUACUAAUACCAGAUCGAUAGUGUACAAGUACCGUGAGGGAAAGGUGAAAAGAACUGAGGUGAUCAGAGUGAAAUAGAACCUGAAACCAUUUGCUUACAAUCAUUCAGAGCCCUAUGUAGCAAUACAGGGUGAUGGACUGCCUUUUGCAUAAUGAGCCUGCGAGUUGUGGUGUCUGGCAAGGUUAAGCAAACGCGAAGCCGUAGCGAAAGCGAGUCUGAAUAGGGCGCUUAGUCAGAUGCUGCAGACCCGAAACGAAGUGAUCUAUCCAUGAGCAAGUUGAAGCUAGUGUAAGAACUAGUGGAGGACUGAACCCAUAGGCGUUGAAAAGCCCCGGGAUGACUUGUGGAUAGGGGUGAAAGGCCAAUCAAACUUCGUGAUAGCUGGUUCUCUCCGAAAUAUAUUUAGGUAUAGCGUUGUGUCGUAAUAUAAGGGGGUAGAGCACUGAAUGGGCUAGGGCAUACACCAAUGUACCAAACCCUAUCAAACUCCGAAUACCUUAUAUGUAAUCACAGCAGUCAGGCGGCGAGUGAUAAAAUCCGUCGUCAAGAGGGAAACAACCCAGACUACCAGCUAAGGUCCCUAAAUCUUACUUAAGUGGAAAACGAUGUGAAGUUACUUAAACAACCAGGAGGUUGGCUUAGAAGCAGCCAUCCUUUAAAGAAAGCGUAAUAGCUCACUGGUCUAGUGAUUUUGCGCGGAAAAUAUAACGGGGCUAAAGUAAGUACCGAAGCUGUAGACUUGCACACAA
rnacentral:rRNA from 1 species